GAUGAACGCUAGCGGCAGGCUUAAUACAUGCAAGUUGAGGGGCAGCAUGAUAUACGCGAGUAUAUUGAUGGCGACCGGCGGACGGGUGAGUAAUAGGUAGGAGACCUACCUCAUACAGGGGGAUAGCAUAGAGAAAUCUGUGGUAAUACCCCAUGAGGUUAUAUGAAUAGAGGCAUAUAAUCAAAGCAUAAGCGAUUAUGCGGUAUGAGAGGGGCCUACUGACCAUUAGCUAGUUGGUGAGGUAAGGGCUCACCAAGGCGAAGAUGGUUAGGGGUUUUGAGAGAGAGACCCCCCACAUUGGAACUGAGAGACGGUCCAGACUCCUACGGGAGGCAGCAGUAGGGAAUAUUGGGCAAUGGGCGGAAGCCUGACCCAGCCAUGCCGCGUGAAGGAAGACGGCCUUAUGGGUUGUAAACUUCUUUACUAUGCGACUAACUAGAUUUACGAGAUAAUUCUAUAGAAUGUAGCAUAGCAAAAAGCACCGG
rnacentral:rRNA from 1 species